CAUUAUCUACUACUUCUGUUGUUUAAUUUAGAUUUUGUUGGUUAUCUUUUGAUUUAUUGUUUGACCUAACUCUGUGAAGUUGGAGUCUUACUGCAUGGGGUGUAUUCAGAUUUCAGUUUAAUGUGUUUAUUGAAGUUGUUUUGGUGUAUCGAAGUUAUGGGUUUUACUUUGGAGUCUUGCUGUAUAGAUUUUGUUUGUUUGUUUUUAUUUUAUUUUUUGUAUUAUGUAAAAUUUCAAGGGUUGUAUUUUUCUUUCAAUUUAAUGGUUUGUUGAUGUUGGUUUUAUGUAAAGUCUCAUAUAAAAGUGAAUGAAUUGCAUAAAGAGUUGGGUUUAUGGCUUUGAGGUGGAUUUUGAGUCAUCUGUUGCUGUUUUAGGAGUUCAUUCAUGUUUAAAUAGAUUGGCAAGUGUUCCUGUCCUUGUCGUGUUUGUCGUAAUGCAAUACCUAAGAGGUUUGAUUUUAUAUCAUUCUUACUGGUGAGGGUUCUCAAUUUUUCACUGUUUUUCUAUAUAUCUGUAUGAUGUUUCAAGCAUGGUGAUUACAGUUCAGUUACUUGUGGAGUAUUAAAGAAUUGCAGUUCAAUUCCAUGUUAACCAGCCGGUAUUCCUAUCUGUGGUGUUCUCUUUCUGCAUAAUUGAAGUAGUAACUUGUGAUCAGCUCCAAUUUUGAUAUUCCUAUCUUUUUGUUUCUACUAAUGACUGCUAUCACUUCAAUUUGCUUUUGACUGUCAGGACUUCUUCCUAAACUUCAGUGCUAUCUAUCACUAUCAGGUUAAUUAUCAUACUUUCCUCAGCUAAAAGAGCCGAGUAGAUAAAGGAGAUAGUAAUGGAAUGGAUACAAAAGGGUUGCUUGGCUACGUGGUUAUCCAAAAGAACAAAUUUAUAACACUUCCGCCACAAUAUUGACCUAUGGUUCUUAUGGACUUGGUGUGAGAAUUUCAAAUUUGAGUUUCAAUUUGGAUUGGCAUUCUUAAAUAUACUUGUUUCCAUUUGAAAGGGUACUUAUGAUUAGUUCUGGAAUAUAGCAUAAUGCUACUUCUCUGUUCAUUUAAUUGAUGUUGCCACUUGCUCCAUUAACAGCACCUUCACAUUUUCAAACUAAUUGUCUUUAAUAUUAUUUUAGGUUCAUGGCUCUGAUUCAGAUAUUGAUGCUUUAUGUAUUGGCCCCUACUUUGCAAGCAUGGAUAAGUUCCAGCUAGUGUUGCGGUGCCUUAAAUUAUCGGCGAGAAAGCGAGGAGUAUAUUGCAGCUCAUACCUGUUUUUUGUUACUGGUACGUCUUCUUCCGUGGAAAUGCUUAUAGGUUCUAUGUUAUGCAGAAACCAAACAGGUGUUCCAUCUAGAAACACAUCUGGAGCACUCAUGUCUGUUCCAGGCUCAUCAGAAAGGAAUCAAUCGACCUGCCCUCAUGGAAAGGAUCCCUAGCAAAUGGCCGCUCCAUAAUGGCAUGCUCCAUGGAGGAAUUAUAGAGUCAUAAGUGGCCAUGCUUGGUGGGUGAGAUCUAUUGCAUUUGACCCUAGCAAUUCGUGGUUUUGUACCGUCUCUGCAGAUCAUACAAUAAAGAUAUGGGACUUAGGAUCUGGAAGGCUAAAGCUACAUUAACAGGACAUAUCGAGCAAGUUAGGGGCCUUGCUGUGAGCUCGCAUCACAGACACCUGAUUGGGUAUUCUUGGUUAUUUGGCUGAGCUGUAAUCUGGUAGUGACAGGAAAGAAGCUGCUGAGAGUACAUUGUUGGCAAUUGCGGGUCAUGUUUCCAUAUAAGGUGCCAAUAGUACCCUCAAGUUCUGAAUGACCUGCCAUUAACACAUUGAAUUUUACCAUUAACUUCAACUAAAACCUCAUUGAAUUUUACCAUAUUCCCAACGGAUAUACGCGUUGGUGAAAUUCAUUGGAACGCUUAUAUCCGUCCCAAAUCAGACGUUUUGGUGUAGUGAACUGUUACAAGGCCUGAUAUUUGCUUUGGGGGUCGAUUAUGUUUUUCAGUUUAUGCAUUCUCCUUCUGAUAUGCACUUACAACUUGUUAAGAGGAUUUUAAGGUAUUUGAAAGGUACAGUUGGAAUAGGAAUUACUUUAAGAAAGAGUGAUAUUACUAUUCUCAAAGCUUAUACUGAUUUGGAUUGGGGAGGAUGCCCAGACACAAGAAGAUCUACUUCGGGCUUUGCUGUUUUUCUAGGUUCAAAUCUGGUUUCUUGGUCAUCUAAAAAACAACCUACAGUGUCUAAAUCCAUUGCAGAAGCUGAGUAUAAGUGUCUUUCAGUAGAUGCUGCUGAGUUAAAAUGGUUCACAUAUUUGAUGAAUGAUUUACAGUUUCAAAGAAUACACAACACAUUUGGCUAGCUAGAUGUGAUAAAGCUUUUAGAGGAAUUAAUCCCAAUCCUCAGCAUAUCUUGGCUAGAGCAAAACAAUUCUGGAUAGAGAAUGUGCAGGCUCAACGACAUAUUAAACUUUAGCUUGAUCCAGCCUUUGGUCCUACCUCAAACAAACAGUUGGAAGAGCCCAGAAAGUGGAACUGCAAAAAUCAACUUAGCUAUCAAUUGGAACCAAACAACUAACACAAUGACUACAACUAUGAUUCUAAGGAAUACUUUGCGUUAUUGCAGAGAGGUUCGAACCAUGGAAAUCACGACUCUCAAUAAGGAUGUUGGAGAGGUGUUGGCAGCAAUUGAAGCGCAACUUUAAACUUCAACCAUCAGCAUUGAAGCUCACAACACCAAUCUGAUCAGACUUCUCCAAGGCUUCCAAAGCAGUAUGGACUGGCGUGCUAAAGCUAUAUGGGAAGACAGGAUAUCAAGCUUUUUGCUUCUUUCUUCAUCUUCAAAACUUUUUACUUAUGUUUCAACUAGAAAACUAGCAAACCGGACAACAAUUGCAUAUGUUAGCAAGUGCCACUGGUAAUGCGACAACAACUCGUAACUACAGGAGUUACCCUCCACUAUGUAUUUUUAAUCUCUUGGAUCAAGAUAGAUUGGGUGCAUGUUCCUAAGUCAAUGAAAAACAAGUCUGUUUUGAA